rnacentral:lncRNA from 1 species
UUUCUCUCUCUUUCCAGAAUAGGUGGCCAUGGGUUCUUUCUUAAUGGUGAUGGAUGGACAGUUUCACCGAGAUCAGACCGCAGGUCGAGAAAAUAGGUAAGUAAUAUUGGCCUAAGCCUAAGAUGCGACGGGAUCACUCUGGAUGGGUAAGAGAAGAGUUCAAUGUUCAACACGGUAAUGGAAUUGACACUUUUUUCUUUUCAUAGGAGAUGGGGCUUUCCUUGCCUGGGAUUUGUAGGUAGUUCCCUGUUUCAAGGAUCAAUGGUUUAUGAGAGGAGCAGCUAAGGCGUACAUGGAAUAUUCGAGGGCAAAGAAUUAGAAUAAGUACUUGCUGGGCUGGAGAAUAAGAAGUGGACCGUCUUUGUUCUCAGGGCAUCAUCGGCAUGCUACUCCCGCACUGAGCCAUUUCGAUAUCUCUGGAUCAAUAUAGAGAGUCUAGCGGGGGUAAAUCUAGAGAGAUGUCUUCCCUUUUAGUUGGGUCCAGCCCAUAUGUCGGCUUGGACAUAUUGCAGUGUGCAGCAUGCUGUCACGGACAAACCUCUAAACAAGAUGUUUGAUAUAAUGCUUAUGUAUGUUCGUAUCUUUUGGCAUGUUCAAACCUUGUAUAGCAUGUAGAGGGACGGUCGAAGGCUUAAUAGUCUCAUUUUAGUUGGAUUGGUGGCCUCUUUAGGCUUGUAAAUAAAGGUUGUGUCAUGUGGACACAUGCGAGAGAUUUUCGGUCUGUAAUGGACCAUUUUACCCUUUGUUGUGCAACUAUUCAGAACUUGUAAAGUCUGUUUGUAAUUUGCAUUAUCUAUGAAGUGUUUUUCGGAGA